UGCUUGGAAGCUUUAUAUAAACCCGUCUAUACAGAUGCAAUGUUGGAAGAGAGAGUGAUAAUAUUGGUGGUAGAAGGCACUUGAAAAUCUGAAGACUUAAGCCAUGGAGAGGAACUACUUUGGUCUUGUUUUGUUCUUCAUCAUCCUCUUAACUUCUAACGAGAUGGUGAUGCACAGUGAAGCUAGGGUUUGUGAAGUUCCAAGCAAAACAUUCAGAGGGUUAUGCUUCAGCGAUACCCAUUGUAUCGUGAAAUGCCACAGUGAGGGUUUCGGUUACGGCAAAUGCUCCCAUGUCCUGCGUCAGUGCCGGUGCCUAAAGGCUUGUGGGCGGCUAGCUGAAAGUGAAACUACUCAUGGAACUGAAACCUCACCAUAAAUUAAGCUCCAGACGUCGAUCCCAUGUCCUGAAUAUAUUAUAAUUAGAUAAAUAAUCAGCCUCAUUUUGGCGUCGGCCGGACGUCAAAAAUAUAAGGGCCAACUUUGUAGGUUGUUCAAAUCGAGAACUCCUUGGUAACUCAAAUAUAUAUGAUCCAAGGAUUAAUAAGCUCUCUGAAUAAGAGCUUUUCAGUUUCCAACUUCUUCUGCUGUAUAGCGAAAUGUUUCAAUAUGCCAGAAACAUAACUCGAUAUAUAUACCAAAGUUACAAUA